UGGUGUUCCCCAGCACCAGUGCGUUGGGGGUGGGCAACAUGACACCCCCCCACCUAAGCCGGCCUCCUGCCUUCUCUCCCUCAGUCUCAGGGGCCAGCCAAGCCCCCACCCCCAAGGAAGCCAUUGCCUGCCGACCCCCAGGGCCGGUGCCCAUCGGGUGACCUGCCCGGCCCAGGGGCUGGAAUCCCGCCCCUAGUGGUACCCUCCAGACCAGCGCCACCGCCCCCGACAGUGUCCUCGCUCUACCUCUGACCUCUCCGGAGGUUCCGCUGCCUCCAAGCCGGACUUAGGGCUUCAAGAGGCGGGCGUGCCCUCUGGAGUCCCCUACCAUGACUGAAGGCGCCAGAGACUGGCGGUGUCUUAAGGCUCCGGGCACCGCCACGCGCUGUCAAGCAACACUCUGCGGACCUGCCGGCGUAGUUGCAGCGGGGGCUUGGGGAGGGGCUGGGGGUUGGACGGGAUUGAGGAAGGUCCGCACAGCCUGUCUCUGCUCAGCUGCAAUAAACGUGACAUCUUGGGAGCGUU
rnacentral:sRNA from 1 species